rnacentral:lncRNA from 1 species
AAAAAAAAUUUAGGCAAACCUCGACAGCAUUCCUUUUCCAGCAGUUCCCUUUUUGAUCGUCCCAGAUUUUCUUUUCGAUUUCUAUCAAGAAAAAUCAAAAAUUAGUAAAAGAGAGAAAUAAGAUAAAAAAAGUAACAAAAAUAGAAAAUAUUUUUAUUUUAUUUUAGAUAUAUAUAUUUUUUUUGAAAGUUUUUUUUUUUGGAAGAAAAACAACUAUGUUAGCAAUCCCCGGCAACGGCGCCAAAAAUUGAUAGUCAACUUUAAAGACCACGCAAUAGCACGUAUCUAGUAGGAUAGUGAUUACGGAUAUCGAUCCCCAGGGAUUGGGGUAU